rfam:Equus caballus chromosome 9, whole genome shotgun sequence.
AAGGACAGAACGACAAGCCCCCGGAUUCCUAAGCCCCAACGAGAGGACCAUUCAGGAACCACUGAAGGCUGAGUUCACCAAGGUGAGUGCAUCCUUGCAACCUGGACAGGAGCCCAGCUCUGAGCUAACAAAC